rnacentral:rRNA from 1 species
GCGAGUGGAUGAUGUGGUUUAAUUCGAUGCAACGCGAAAACCUUACCACCUUUGACAUGGCAGGAAUCCUAAAGAGAUUUGGGAGUGCUCGAAAGAGAACCUGCACACAGGUGCUGCAUGGCUGUCGUCAGCUCGUGUCGUGAGAUGUUGGGUUAAGUCCGCAGCGAGCGCAACCCUCGUCGUAUGUUAUAUGUGUCAUACGAGACUGCCGGUAAAAGCCGGAGGAAGGUGAGGAUGAUGUCAAGUCAGCAUGACCUUUAUAUCCAGGGCUACACACACGCUACAAUGGUCUGUACAAUGGGUAGCCAAGCCGCGAGGCGGAGCCAAUCCUGAAAGCAGGCCUCAGUUCAGAUUGCAGUCUGCAACUCGACUGCAUGAAGCCGGAGUUGCUAGUAACCGCAGGUCAGCAAUACUGCGGUGAAUACGUUCCCGGGUCUU